rnacentral:lncRNA from 1 species
AUUAUACGAUCUAAAUCCCAAGUAAGAGUUUGAGCUUUUACAGUUGGUAUCAAAGCCACGUUCCUCGAAACUAUUCUUUGCAUAUAGGGCUAGAAUAAAUUUAAUACAACCCGAAUUUGAAACCACUGUCAUGAAAUAUAGGUAAAGAAAUAUGAGGAGAGGAAGACCCCCGCUAAAUAGAGUAACCCGUGAGGGAUCGUUUCGGAAAGAUGUUAAUCGACUCUUUGAGAUGCUUGAGAGACUCAUUUCUACUUAAUAAACUAGAGAGGAGAGAAGAGAGUUAUUGG